rnacentral:tRNA from 1 species
GCUGUAGCUCAGGGGUAGAGCACUUGCCUGGCAUGUGUGAGGCCCUGGGUUCCAUCCCCAGCACUGCA